GCCGGGGAUCAAGGCUCCUUUUCAUCAGGUUAUUGUCCUUUUGCUUCCUAGUGUCAGCAGUCCUGGGAACAGGAAACGGUUUUGUGCAAUGGGAAGUGACAGGAAACUGAUGACUAACUACUUUUGAGCUUUGCAGAUACAGUUUCAACGUACACAGAGAUACUGACACACUUUCCGAGACACAUGUGCAUGGAUAAAUAAGAGCUAAAUCUAGACCUUACUCUGGUCAGUUUUUAAGGCAGUGCUGUUUAUUGACAGCUUCCUGUGCUCUUGGGACUCUGCUAGGCCCUUCAGUCCUUCACAGAAUCCUGACAACCUCCUCGGGUUCCACGGUCAGCUUUUACAGGGGAGAAGAGAGUCCAAGGCAGCUGACGUCCUUGCUGCCUUACCUGGAUGGGGAGAUGACGGUAGCCCCGCCCACUGUGUGCUACCAAGCCGGCAGGCAACUUCCUGCUCCGACUUCAUUCCAGACGACGCUAGAAAUACAGGGCACUGGUUUUAGAACUGCGGGCACAAAAUGCAUUACUCAUUUCACCAAGGUAUGUUUUAUUUCCAUCUAGAAAUGAUGCCUACUGCCAAUGGAUAUGAAGAAAAUUUCAUUGUAAUUAAUGCCAGUUAUUCAAGUUGGUGGCCCUUGAAGAUCUAUAAAAGGCAGCUGAGACACAGUUUUACACGUGGAUUUGAAUAGAGUAUUUAGGAAGCAGUAAAUGCUGUCAUCAUCAGCCUGACUUUGGACAGUUCAGCCAGGGUAUGUGAAUGGCUCUAUAGGACUGGGGAGAAAGCCAGGCAGCUGUACUUCUUUGGUGGGAACUAUAAAGAGUUCACCAUAAAGAGGAUGAGUCAUCAUUUUUCAGCUCUGGAAACCUGUUUCUGAAAGCAUUAUUUGGUGAAAAGUAGAAAAUAAGACUGAAGACUUUGGUAUUUCAUUGUAACCCAGUAAAUAUGAUUUCUAGAAAUCUUCUAAUUUUGGAUAUGUGCUCAAAGAACUUACGCAUAUUUUAGGAAAAAAUCUAUGCAUUUUAGGUGCAGUUAGUAGAAACUAGCAAACUCAAGCUUAAUGGACGUGAAGACAUGAAGCAAACAACCUUCCGACAUGUAAAUAAGCUGACACUAACAGAGAUAAUAUUGAAAAUGUCUUUAACAACUGGUAUGGCAGGUGCGCAGAUGAACUGAGAGCCUGCUGGCCAGGUGGGAGCAGGGUGCCAGGUGUCAGGAUCAGGGGAUUCUUGGGGGUUCUGGGAGAAGGGCUCGGUCUUGUGGCUAAGAGCUCAGAGCAGUAACUACGCUCUAGGGGGUGCUGAAUAUCAGUGUUGUUAAUAAUUACUUUUUUUUUAGUGUAUUAAAUUUUUGUGAAUAAUUGCUAUUAAUUUUAUAUCUAAAUAAAGUUAAAGUGUCUCUGAUAAAAUA
ensembl:lncRNA